AUACGUAGGGUGCAAGCGUUAAUCGGAAUUACUGGGCGUAAAGCGUGCGCAGGCGGUUUUGUAAGACAGUGGUGAAAUCCCCGGGCUCAACCUGGGAACUGCCAUUGUGACUGCAAGGCUGGAGUGCGGCAGAGGGGGAUGGAAUUCCGCGUGUAGCAGUGAAAUGCGUAGAUAUGCGGAGGAACACCGAUGGCGAAGGCAAUCACCUGGGCCUGCACUGACGCUCAUGCACGAAAGCGGGGGGAGCAAACAGGAUUAGAUACCCUGGUAGUCCACGCCCUAAACGAUGUCAACUGGUUGUUGGGGAUUUAUUUUCUCAGUAACGAAGCUAACGCGUGAAGUUGACCGCCUGGGGAGUACGGCCGCAAGGUUAAAACUCAAAUGAAUUGACGGGG
rnacentral:rRNA from 1 species